AACAUGUUUUGGUACAAAGGCCAACUGAUGUUCACAUACAGCUCCUGCUAUAAGAAAAAACAGUAAGAUAUUAGCAAACUUGAAAACUCAGAACCUCAAACUUAUGGUAGAGUUAAGUAGAGGCCUUCUCAGAAACAAGCCAUACACAAUACUACUCAAUAGAAUCAGAAUACCAAAACAAAUAGAGUUUCAUAGAAAUCCAAACCAAGAGAUAUAACAGUAGGAAAAUGAUAAGAAUAGGGAUAUAUAAUCCGACAUACAUCCAUCAAUACAACCGAAAACAAACUGCAGACAUACAUUGGCAAGAGACCUAACAUGUCCAAACUCAGCAUUCAAAGAAGCAGAAUGAUAGACAUAACCAAUGUCACUUGUAUCAAUAAGCAAUAACCAAACAAAUCCAGCGUAAUCAACUGAAAUAGCCAAACAGGAACACAAAUACACAUCUAUGCCUACCAGAGAUAAAGAGAAUAACAUCAACAAAAGUUGUGUUCGGAUGGAGAGAGAGAGAGAGAGAUAGACUCACAGAAGUCAUGU
rnacentral:lncRNA from 1 species